rnacentral:rRNA from 1 species
GACAGAGGGGGCAAGCGUUGCUCGGAAUCACUGGGCGUAAAGGGCGCGUAGGCGGGAUGGCAAGUCGGUCGUGAAAUCCUUCGGCUCAACCGAAGAACGUCGGCCGAUACUGCCGUUCUUGAGGGAUGCAGAGGAGAUUGGAAUUCCUGGUGUAGCGGUGAAAUGCGCAGAUAUCAGGAGGAACACCGGUGGCGAAGGCGGGUCUCUGGGCCGAUACUGACGCUGAGGAGCGAAAGCGUGGGGAGCAAACAGG